rnacentral:rRNA from 1 species
AUGUGUUUUGAUCUUGUUGUAUCCGAUGAAGAAACUUAUGCAUUGCAAGUGCCGUAUGACAUUACUAGGCCCCAAAGCUUGGUCUAUGAUCUAACCAGUUUUCUGAGGGUUUUAUUGUCUAGAUGCGAGGCCUCUAUAAUGCACUUUGUUUGGAAUUCUCCAGUUGAGAGCAUCAUUGUUGCUACAGAGUGCGUUGGCAUCUCUAACUUUUGGAGGUUUUUGAUGAACUUAUCGUUGCGACUCAUUAUUUGUGUUUUGAUCUUGUUGUACCCAAUGAUGAAACUUAUGCAUUGCAAGUGCCGUAUGACAUUACUAGGCUUCAAGGCUUGGUCUAUGAUCUAA